AUCUUUUUACAAAUAAAAACAUUUCUAUAUUAUUUAACAGAGAUUAAUGUAGAUAAUAAAAAACUUUGAUGCUCUCCUCGUUACAUUAUUAAUAAUUAGGAAAAAAAUCAACUCAUAAAGGUAAAAAUCUCAUCCACGCCCGGUCCCUGUCCCGGGGGCGACGCGGGCGGCGAACAAGCCGCGUCGUCCCCGCCCUUCUCCUCCCCUCCCCAGCCUCGCCGCCACCCGAGCCGCCGCCGGCAAAGCCGGGCGGCUGCAAGGAUGGCGGCGGCGGGACUCUCUCUCCCUCGCUCGCGGCCAAGACGGUCGGGACGUCGGCACGGCACGAGCUCAGGGCAUGGCGUCGGCGCCGACCGGCGGCGUCCAGAUCCGGUGCCGUGGUGCCCGGAUCCGGUCCCCCAACGACGGGCGGCGGCGUCCUGGCAGCUCGGCGGCGAGGUUUGGCGGUGGGUUUGGGCGGCGGCGACCUGGCGUGACCUAGCGGCGACGACCUGACGGGAGACGCUGCCGGAGCUGCCUCCGGUAGCCGAGCACGGCGGCGCAGCCAGACGACGGAUGCGGCGGUGGAGGUGCUGCGAGAGCCAGUGGUGACGCCAGCGAUGCGGGAGGAGGCAACGACGCCUCUAGCUAGAUCUGGCUAGCGGUGGCUGCUGCUGCCGACGGCGGCAGUGACGACGGCGGCGGCUGUGGCGUCAUCGACUGCGGCGGCGGGCUGGCGAGGCAGCGGCCGUGGUGGUCGAGGCGUCGUGGAGGCGGUCGUGCGGCCUCGUAGGUGGCGAGGCCUGCCGUGCAGGCGUCGUGGAGGCCGGCAACGUGUGGCUAUUGGAGGCCAGCGUCGUGCGGUAGCGGGAGGGCGUCAUAGAGACCGACGACAUGGAGCUCGCGGGCGGCGACAGCAGGUGCUGGUGGCUGCAGGCUGCGACAGCGGACGGCUUGCGGCGAUGGCCGUGGCGACCGUGGACGUGGCUGCCGUGGCGGAGGAGGUGAGGAUGGUGAUGGAGAGGUGGCUGGGUGUUCGGCAGCAGCGGCUACGGUGGCGGUGACCACGGUCACCGGAGGCAUGGUGGCUUCGGACAGCUAGCCGAGGGUGUGGCAGACGGUUGCAUCUGGCCGGCGUGGCAUCGUUUGGAGGAGGGGUCGGAGACCGGCUUAGCGCAGAGAGGCGCAGCCGAUGGCAGCGGAGGCCGGCUCGGCGCGAGAGGCGCGGGCGGCGGAGCUGGAGGCCGGGUUGGCGCGAGAGGCGCGGCCGAUGGAGGGAGGCCGGGUUGGCGCGAGAGGCGCGUCCGGUGGAGGAGGCCGGCUUGGCGCAAGAGGCGCAGCUGGCGAUGGAGGAGGUGACCUCGGUGUGAGGAGGAGCUGCCGGUGGGUGUAGCGCGGUCUUCGGCGCACGAAGGCUGGCCGGCGGGGGACGCCGGUGCAGGGGUUCCACAUGUCGGCAGAGCUUGAGUGGUGGUGGAGCAUCGGUGCGUCAGCCGUGGAUUCGCAGAUGGUGAGCGGCGGGUGAAAACCUAGCCUGGCCUUAGCCGGACCGACAGCGAUGGUUAAUUCCCCUUCCUGAGGGCGUUGUCGUGCUGUCUCACCCCUCAAGAGUGGUGUAGCGCCCGUUCCGUCGUGGCGCCUAACGGGAAAAUUUAAAUUCAAAAAAAACUAAUUGCGAAAUCUGUUUCUUUGCUUGUUGUCAGUCUCCGUGCCAAUCCCUGAUCUCGAAUCCCCGAUAUAUCGUCAAAUUCAAAUUCCUAAUCCAAAUCCUUCCCAAA